rnacentral:rRNA from 1 species
GUGUCAGCAGCCGCGGUAAUACGUAGGGUGCGAGCGUUAAUCGGAAUUACUGGGCGUAAAGCGUGCGCAGGCGGUUUGUUAAGAUAGGCGUGAAAUCCCCGGGCUCAACCUGGGAACUGCGUUUAUGACUGGCAGGCUAGAGUAUGGCAGAGGGGGGUGGAAUUCCACGUGUAGCAGUGAAAUGCGUAGAGAUGUGGAGGAACACCGAUGGCGAAGGCAGCCCCCUGGGCCAAUACUGACGCUCAUGCACGAAAGCGUGGGUAGCAAACAGGAUUAGAAACCCCCGUAGUCC